GGUUGAGCCGCUGUGGGUAGGGUUAGUGUGAGAGGUGCGGCGGGGGAGGUAAUGAUGAUGGUGGCGGAGGAGGAAGGCGGGGGAGGGGGUGCUGGGCGCUGAGCGGAGGCUCUGGCAGGGUUUGGUAGGGUGGGGGACGGUCGCAGGGCGAUCCGUCAGGGAGGGGGCGGGCGGAGGGCCGCCGUCCGCUUGAGGGGCUGCAGACCCCGGCUCCCGCGAGCGCCGCGGCUGGCUUGGCUGUUCCAUGUGGCUCCGGCGGGGAUGGAGGACUCGGUGGCGGCGGCGGCGGCUGCUGCUGUGGCGGCGACGGAGGAGCGGCUCUGAGGAGGGAACUGGGCCAGACUCAACCCGACAGCGGGAUUAGAGUCCUCCAGAAUACACGUCAUAUAGCCCUGAGGUGGAAUGGUGAUGUCUGCAUGAGGGAACCUCCUCUCACCCGUCCUGUCAUGUAUAUCCUACUGUUCCUGACUGGGCCAUUCAUCUAAGAUGGGAUUUGCCCUGUGAAACAGGGAGAAGACUUAUGGGCCUCAAGCAUCAUUUCAAGUUGUAAUUCAGUUUUUUAAAAGUACAGACAUACAUGCAAAGCUCCUUUCCUUUGGACCCUCUGCUUUAUUAAAGCUGCUGUGUUAAUCCAGAACUGUUCAGUCUAUUGACCCAUCACCAUGGCUUCAGUUUGGAAGAGACUGCAGCGUGUGGGAAAGCAUGCAUCCAAGUUCCAGUUUGUGGCUUCCUACCAGGAGCUGAUGGUUGAGUGUACAAGGAAGUGGUAAGUUGUGCAUGGGAGUAGAGUUUGCUGUCCUUUGGCCUAAACUCUUGAAUCUUGUGAUAACAGAUUUGCCUUUUUGUAGUGCAUAGGCUGAACGGGGUGCAUAUUACUCUGACAAGCACUAUGGUGUGUACUGUUGCUGCUGGUACUGUCCCUGUGGAUUUUAAUUAUUGCACUCUUAGUAUGACUCAGAGGACUGUAACUGAGAGCACAACUGAGUGCUCAAGUUGGUCUUGAAGUCAUUUAUCAUUAGUGUUAGAAUAACUUUAAGGAGGUAUAAAGAAUGGCUACUGAAAUAGAAACAUGCAUAUGUUUUAAUAUGUAUAUUCUUUAAUAGAGUUUUGAUAUGGACGUUUGCAUUCUAUAGGACUGAUGGUGAUAAUCUAUUUUUUUUUUGUUUUGUUUUUCCUUGCUUAAGAUAAAUAAUUUUUCAUUAUUUGAAUAAUGGAAUGCCAGUCUACACAACCUUAGAAAUUCUUUUGUUGAAUACUUAGGCAACUGUAUUUUCUUUUAAUUGCUUAAUGGGAUACAUUUUUUGGCUGGAUUUAAGGAAGCAAUUAGUAGUUCUGGUCUGUGAUUUGCUUCUUUCCACUUGAGCAAAGUAAAUUUGGGGCUUUCUUUUCACUGCAUAAAUGAUAAACAGUAAGAAUUCCUAUUUAGUGAGAGGAAAAAAGUUAAUCUUAGG
rnacentral:lncRNA from 1 species